UGUGAAAGGGUCUUGGUCGAUGGAGGAGUGGGGUGGGGGUUUGAUCUUGUUUAAGUAAAAACAGUGUCUUCUGGAGAGAUUCCCCCACACCAUGCUGUUAUCUUAUAGGAAGGUGAUUUAGGAGGCACCAGUCGGCCAGCCUUUUCUUCUAUUGAAAUGCAGUGUGGAAGUCAAGGGGGAGGCAAUCCUAGAUGCCUGGGUCUCCUUCCUCACCCCCCUCCCCCAACACUUUGAGCCCCUCACCACUCUAUAAUAUUAGUGAGAGGUCUCACUUUCAUUCUCAUUUUCCAGAUCCUCUGAAGAAACUGAUUGAUAAUGACAGAUAUAAAACAUUUGUGAUGUGGUUCUUCUGGUCUAUUAUAGCAGUAAAGGUUUUCUUAGCCAUUUAGAGAAACAAGGGGGGAAAACAGGGCAGUAGUAAACACCCACUAUUGUUAUUACGUCUGUGAUGAAGGUUUUUAAUCCUCCCAAGGCUGAGGACCAACCUUUAAAUGAGAACUUAGAUUGAAUUUAUGCCAGACCUGCACAGGCACGUGUGCUAGUUUGGUUAUAUUCUUAGCUGCAUCACCCUGGUCGUUUAUGUGCAGGCAGCAGUUGGUUAGUUUGAAUUUUUUACGGACUCCUCCUUCAGCUGCCAGCAAAUAAUCUAAGGCCAACCGGUUCUGAUAAAUGGCAUUUCUCACUUGAGUUUCUUGUCUGGCCAAAAUGGACAGAGCUUUGCCCGUUUUAUUAAUGAGUAUUUCAAAGGCAGCCUGCAACUGGAUGAUCUGAUUUAGCAUAUAGAUAUGAGUCCGGUGUCCCUAUGAGCCAUUCUCUGUCCCUGUGGCCAGCCUAUAGGACUCAAUAAUUCUUUCCAGUGGCCACUUAUUAUUUUCCCAUUUACCUAUUUUCAGACUUCUUUUCACUCCCUGGGCAGAGUAGACUGGAUGUCCUAACAGCUCACCUGUCUUAGCAUAUAAUAGGAAAAAAGAAGGCUUAAUGAUGCCUAUGACAUAGCUACCUGUCCAUAUUUCAGGCAGCUGUACCUAUGCUCUAUGUCCUGAUAUCCAGUACAACCCAGGAGGGGCUGUCUAGUCUCUCCAGGACCCAGGGUGAUUGCAAGCAUCCUGUAAUUUUGGAAAUUUUAGGAGGGGGUUCUUUUCUGUAUGGAUUGAGCUCCACCAGGGUACAGUCACUGCCCUAUGCAGCUAAGCUUUCCAACUGGAACAGUGAAGUCUGUUCCUUCUCUGGCCAAACAAUAUUGUCCGAUAAUUGAAACCUUUAAAACCCAGAAACUGCUGGUUUGAACCCUUUGAACUCAGGUCAGGUCAGGGACAGGGUCAGAGGGUAAUAACUCACGGGCUUCCCAUGGCCACCUAUCACCCAGAGCCGUCCCUCCACAUACAUAAAAAGAAGUAACAUUGAGGAAAUGAGCCACAUUUUCAGAAAAUUGGAGGAACAAGUUCUUUGUCUUUUUUGGAAGUUCUGGCAUUGGCUUAUUUAAUAUACCACAAAAGUGCUGGUACACUGGCCAGGCUGAGCAUUUUUUUAUUUUUCCCUGAAUUUGGAUACUGACUCCGGGGUCAAGCCCUUUUCCAUCAGUUCCUAGCAUUACACUCUCCCGUUUUUCCCAUUUA